UGGCUCAGAGGUUAAAGCGUCUGCCUGGAAUGCAGGAGACCCGGGUUCCAUCCCUGG
rnacentral:tRNA from 1 species